UACAGAGGGUGCAAGCGUUAAUCGGAAUUACUGGGCGUAAAGCGCGCGUAGGUGGUUUGUUAAGUUGGAUGUGAAAUCCCCGGGCUCAACCUGGGAACUGCAUCCAAAACUGGCAAGCUAGAGUAUGGUAGAGGGUGGUGGAAUUUCCUGUGUAGCGGUGAAAUGCGUAGGAUAUAGGAAGGAACACCAGUGGCGAAGGCGACCACCUGGACUGAUACUGACACUGAGGUGCGAAAGCGUGGGGAGCAAACAGGAAUUGAGAAACCCCUGG
rnacentral:rRNA from 1 species